UAGCACACAAACUGAAAAAAAAAGUGCAU
rnacentral:piRNA from 1 species